GACGAACGCUGGCGGCGUGCUUAACACAUGCAAGUCGAGCGGUAAGGCUCCUUCGGGAGUACACGAGCGGCGAACGGGUGAGUAACACGUGAGUAAUCUGCCCUUCACUUCGGGAUAACCACCGGAAACGGUGGCUAAUACCGAAUACGACCAGUCUUCGCAUGAGGUGCUGGUGGAAAGUCUUUUCGGUGAAGGGUGUGCUCGCGGCCUAUCAGCUUGUUGGUGGGGUAAUGGCCUACCAAGGCUUCGACGGGUAGCCGGCCUGAGAGGGUGACCGGCCACACUGGGACUGAGACACGGCCGAGACUCCUACGGGAGGCAGCAGUGGGGAAUAUUGGACAAUGGGCGAAAGCCUGAUCCAGCAACGCCGCGUGAGGGAUGACGGCAUUCGGGUUGUAAACCUCUUUCAGUACCGACGAAGCGCCCUGUCGGGUGGUGACGGUAGGUACAGAAGAAGGACCGGCCAACUACGUG
rnacentral:rRNA from 1 species